AUUGAACGCUGGCGGCAGGCCUAACACAUGCAAGUCGAGCGGAUGAAGGGAGCUUGCUCCUGGAUUCAGCGGCGGACGGGUGAGUAAUGUCUAGGAAUCUGCCUGGUAGUGGGGGAUAACGUCCGGAAACGGGCGCUAAUACCGCAUACGUCCUGAGGGAGAAAGUGGGGGAUCUUCGGACCUCACGCUAUCAGAUGAGCCUAGGUCGGAAUAGCUAGUUGGUGGGGUAAAGGCCUACCAAGGCGACGAUCCGUAACUGGUCUGAGAGGAUGAUCAGUCACACUGGAACUGAGACACGGUCCAGACUCCUACGGGAGGCAGCAGUGGGGAAUAUUGGACAAUGGGCGAAAGCCUGAUCCAGCCAUGCCGCGUGUGUGAAGAAGGUCUUCGGAUUGUAAAGCACUUUAAGUUGGGAGGAAGGGCAGUAAGUUAAUACCUUGCGGUUUUGACGUUACCAACAGAAUAAGCACCGGCUAACUUCGUG
rnacentral:rRNA from 1 species